AGAGUUUGAUCCUGGCUCAGGAUGAACGCUAGCGACAGGCCUAACACAUGCAAGUCGAGGGGCAUCGAGAGUGUAGCAAUACACUUGUCGGCGACCGGCGCACGGGUGAGUAACACGUAUGCAACCUGCCCGUUGCAGGGGGAUAAUCUCGGGAAACCGGGUCUAAUACCCCAUAAUGCAGGGAUCCCGCAUGGGAUUAUUUGCUAAAGAAUAUCGGCAACGGAUGGGCAUGCGUUCCAUUAGCUAGUUGGUGAGGUAACGGCUCACCAAGGCCACGAUGGAUAGGGGUUCUGAGAGGAAGGUCCCCCACAUUGGAACUGAGACACGGUCCAAACUCCUACGGGAGGCAGCAGUGAGGAAUAUUGGUCAAUGGGUGCAAACCUGAACCAGCCAAGUCGCGUGAAGGAAGAAUGUCCUAAGGAUUUUAAACUUCUUUUGUCAGGGAGUAAAGGCACUUACGUGUAAGUGUUUGCAAGUACCUGGAGAAAAAGCAUCGGCUAACUCCGUGCCAGCAGCCGCGGUAAUACGGAGGGUGCGAGCGUUAUCCGGAUUUAUUGGGUUUAAAGGGUGCGUAGGCGGCACGUCAAGUCAGCGGUGAAAUCCCGGAGCUCAACUCCGAAACUGCCGUUGAAACUGACGAGCUAGAGUACGGUAGAAGUAUGCGGAAUGCGUGGUGUAGCGGUGAAAUGCAUAGAUAUCACGCAGAACCCCGAUUGCGAAGGCAGCAUACCAGACCGCGACAGACGCUGAAGCACGAAAGCGUGGGUAUCAAACAGGAUUAGAUACCCUGGUAGUCCACGCAGUAAACGAUGAAUACUAACUGUUUGCGAAACAAUGUAAGCGGUA
rnacentral:rRNA from 1 species